AUUGAACGCUGGCGGCAUGCCUAACAAAUGCAAGUUCAGCGAGAGGCGGACGGGUGAGUACUGUCUGGGAAACUGACUGAUGGAGGGGGAUAAAUACUGGAAACGGUUGAUCAUUCCGCAUACCAUUCGCUGUGCCCAGCUGGGAUUUGCUAGUAGGUGGGGUAACGGCUCACCUAGGCGACGAUCCCUAGCUGGUCUGAGAGGAUGACCAGCCACACUGGAAGUGAGACACGGUCCAGACUCCUACGGGAGGCAGCAGUGGGGAAUAUUGCACAAUGGGAGCAAGCCUGAUGCAGCCAGGCCGCGUGUGGGAAGAAGGCCUUCGGGUUGUAAAGCACUUUCAGCGGGGAGGCGUUACCCGCAGAAGAAGCACCGGCUAACUCCGUGCCAGCAGCCGCGGUAAUAC
rnacentral:rRNA from 1 species